rnacentral:misc_RNA from 1 species
UUAACUAUUUAUAUAGUACUCAGACGACAUAUUGAUGGAGUUUGGUGGUCCUCUGGCGGGCGCUGACCAGCCUGAGCCGGUGGCCAUAAGGCGGGCCCGCCAAAGCAACAAAAGGUAAUGUAAACAUUGGGUGGGAGAUAUACCCAGAGGGCAUUGUUCUCUGUAAUGAUCCUUCCGCAGGUUCACCUACGGAAA